UACGUAGGGGGCAAGCGUUGUCCGGAAUCAUUGGGCGUAAAGAGCGUGUAGGCGGCCCGGUAAGUCCGCUGUGAAAGUCCAGGGCUCAACCCUGGGAUGCCGGUGGAUACUGUCGGGCUCGAGUCCGGAAGAGGAGUGUGGAAUUCCUGGUGUAGCGGUGAAAUGCGCAGAUAUCAGGAGGAACACCGGUGGCGAAGGCGGCCUGCUGGGCAGUAGCUGACACUGAUGCGCGACAGCGUGGGGAGCAAACAGG
rnacentral:rRNA from 1 species